UACGAAGGGGGCUAGCGUUGUUCGGAAUUACUGGGCGUAAAGCGCGCGCAGGCGGCUAUCCAAGUCAGUGGUGAAAGCCCGGAGCUCAACUCCGGAACUGCCAUUGAAACUGUUUAGCUUGAGUAUGGGAGAGGUGAGUGGAAUUCCCAGUGUAGAGGUGAAAUUCGUAGAUAUUGGGAAGAACACCGGUGGUGAAGGCGGGCUCACUGGCUCAUUACUGACGCUCAGGCGCGACAGCGUGGGGAUCAAACAGG
rnacentral:rRNA from 1 species